ensembl:processed_transcript
UGGGAGAGCGUGCAGAGUUUCAAGGCGUCUGACUGAAAACUUGGGAAUUCUGUAAUCUCACCAUGUCGUUUGAAGGCCACCAUAACAAACAUAUGCAAUAUGGUUUCGGGUGACAUUUCAGGUCCUCCUGUGAACUGAAGGCACCAGAAUGGGAAAUGGUAUCAGACCUGGGAGUAUUCAUAAACUUAAACCUAAGAAAACCUAAAAGGUAAACGUCACUGCUUAUUAGCUUUUUAAAUUUGUCAUCACAUUUUUGGUUUCAUAAUUCAUAGUCUAUUUUUGUUUCUUGGUUAAACUACUUAUUUCAAAUGAAUAAUCCACUUACAUUUGUAAAAAUUUGUCAACUUUGUUGCGAGAACAUGAAGUUGUGUGGAAUUUUUACAGUGUUUUGGGAAAUCUGAGGUCUAUCCCGACUGGCCCCUCUCAGUAGGGCUUAGUCGUUGGAAAUGCCUCAAAGAUAAAGUCUGUAGUAUCGCUUUACCCAUGUUGCUAAUUUCAUUAGCUUUGUGGGAAAAACACUGCAGUACAUUCAAUUAGAUAAAAGGAUGUACCUUAAUUUGUUGAGCAACAGCUCAUCUGUAAAUUUCCACUCUCUGUGUGAUCAGAUGAACGUCCACUAGAUGGUGCCGCACCCGUUUUCAUGCUGAUGGAGGACUGUUG